UGAGGAAUAUUGGUCAAUGGACGCAAGUCUGAACCAGCCAUGCCGCGUGCAGGAUGACGGCUCUAUGAGUUGUAAACUGCUUUUGUACGAGGGUAACACUUUCUACGUGUAGGGAGUUGAAAGUAUCGUACGAAUAAGGGUCGGCUAACUCCGUGCCAGCAGCCGCGGUAAUACGGAGGACCCGAGCGUUAUCCGGAUUUAUUGGGUUUAAAGGGUGCGCAGGCGGUUUGAUAAGUUAGAGGUGAAAGGUUAACGCUUAACGUUAAAAUUGCCUCUGAUACUGUCAGACUAGAGUAUAGUUGCUGUGGGCGGAAUGAGUGGUGUAGCGGUGAAAUGCUUAGAUAUCACUCAGAACACCGAUUGCGAAGGCAGCUCACAAAGCUAUUACUGACGCUUAGGC
rnacentral:rRNA from 1 species